CAGAUGUUCACUCAGUUCUGUAGGUCAGAAGUCCAGCAGACUCAGCCAGGUUCUCCACUCAGAGUAUCACAAGGCGCAUUUCUCAGAACGUAUCUCUGUCAUUAAGCAAUACAUGACUAUGUGUGUGUGUGUAUAUACACACAGGCACACAUCUGUCAUCAUAGUGACUCAAGGCCUCUGCAGGCCUAAGCUCUGAAGUUUUAUAACAUCUUUUCUGCCAUAUCUUUUUGGCUAAUGCCAAUCAGAUUCAGUUUAGUCAUCAUGGUAGUACCAAAGGCAAAGAAAUUUAGGUCUCCAAUUACGGAAUUCCAAGCUUGCAAGGGCCCCCAAGAUUCUUGCCUUACUAUGGAGCUGGAAGUGGCUACACGUGCAGCUCUC
rnacentral:lncRNA from 1 species